rnacentral:piRNA from 1 species
GAUUCCCUUUUUGCUUUAAACUCAAAA